rnacentral:rRNA from 1 species
GGACUACCGGGGUUUCUAAUCCUGUUCGCUCCCCACACUUUCGCUCCUCAGCGUCAGAACAUUCCCAGAGAACCGCCUUCGCCACCGGUGUUCCUCCUGAUAUCUGCGCAUUUCACCGCUACACCAGGAAUUCCGUUCUCCCCUGAAUGCCUCAAGUCUGCCCGUAUCGAAAGCAAGCUCCGAGUUAAGCCCGAAGUUUUCACUCCCGACGCGACAAACCGCCUACGAGCCCUUUACGCCCAAUAAUUCCGGACAACGCUCGGACCCUACGUAUUACCGCGGCGGCUGGCAC